UAGGUUCGCCCACAGCGAUUAAAAGGGAAUCGGGUGAAAGUCCCGAACAGUCCCGCUGCUGUAAGUAACCUUUAUGGCCGCAAACACUGCGCCACUGAACCCCACAAAGGGCUAUUCGGGAAGGCGUUUGCUGCCCGGUUACAAAGUCAGAAGACCUGCCAUUGCCGGU
rnacentral:ncRNA from 1 species